UCUCACUCUUCAACCCCUUGUCUCUUUUUCUCUCUUCUCCUUCAAUAAUUUCUUUUGGUUGCCUAUGUUGCCGUCGUUCCCACCUCUGUAUGCAUUUUGAAAAUGUUUUUGUUGGAUUUAUUUAAAAAGGUUGUUGUCAUUGUGUUUUAGAGGAGUGUGAGGCAGAGAUAAUAGAUCCCGAGAAGAGAGAGGGUGAGGAUGGCAGCGACGACGGCGACGGUGGCGACGACAGUGGUGGAUCUAAGGGUCGGCAUGAGGACGACAGUUGUGAGAUCUGAGUCUUUGGACGGUGACGACGGUGGUGGUGGUAGGAUUUGAGGUUGAAGACGGCGGAGGACGGUGAUGGAUGUGGCCGCUGGUGGUGGUGAAGAUGAAUGGGUGGUUGGAUAAGUGACAAAGGUUGAAAGAAAACUGAAUGCUGAAUGAGAGUCACAAUUUUUUUGAGAGAGUAAAUUUUUUUUUUUGGUUGAGCUGGCUUUUUUUAUAUUUUAUUGUGACAAGUGGGAGGGUGUAAGAGAGGGGUACACCACGUAAGGGUGUUUACCUAUCAGCUCUCUAAAAAAACUAUUAGAGUGUAAACUCACCGUGAAACAUCUUCAACAUCCCAAUAAUAUUAUUAAAAUAAAAUUGAAAAAGAGAGUACAAUUUAGGGAAACUAG
rnacentral:lncRNA from 1 species